UCAAAGUAUUGCAUGUUGCUGCCUGCCCUCUCAUGACUGGGAUCUUGGGUGGGAGAAAAGGGCAAAAAGAAAAAAGAGAGAGAGAACAAGAGGAUAGUUAAGUUAAACUUAAGUUACACUACCUGAUCAAAGACAGCCUUCAGGCCUAUAACACUAUCCCAGUUAUUUUUGUGGAGACAAGAAUUAUCUCACUCGGUUGUACCUUAAACGCCCAUAAACUGAGCAUCUGGACUUAUACUCACAAUAGAACAUUCCACCCAAGCAAUUGGAUAAGGAAUAGUGCACUCCCUCCAAAAGAAAGUAAAGCUCUCCUUUUGGUAGCGGUAUUAAUGGAGAACCAAAACACAACCAACAAGUUUAACAAAGCUAGUUAAGAAGCAGAAAGCAUCCAACAGUCACCUGGGAAUUCUCCUUUUGAUAUCAUCUCAGCGUCCAGUUUGUAUGUAUCCUGC